UUAAAAUCCUUGAUUGGAGACGUAUACGGAAGUCAAACGCACGAUUCAUUAAAAUUGAGCAUUUCAGAUCAAUAACACUUACUUACAUUUUAUAAAUAACCAAGUGCUAAUAGACCUAUUUUAAAUGCAUAUUGCAUUUAAAAUGCAACUCUGCGUUUAAAUAUCUUAUUCUUGUGAAUUUGAAAGAAAAACUGGUUUUACUGAAAUGUAAAAGUUUCCGUUAAUAACAGAGCUGCGGAAGUUAGUAUAUAAACCGAUGGAGAAGCAGGAUGAUGUGGAGGUGGUUCGUGAGAAGGAGUCGGAUGCAGCGGAGGCGAUCGCGGAGCCUCAGUCUCUCUCUUUCCCAGAGGUGUUCCGCAUGAUUCAAGCAGGGGAGGAGGUUCCUGGACUCCAAAAGCUGGACAUCAAACCUUGUCAUGAUCAGCCCACGGUUUCUCAGAUGCCCAGAAAGUCAAAACCAUGGGAAAAAUGACUUGUGUUUCCUAAUAAUAAAAUAUGGACUGGUUUACAACAUA